rnacentral:misc_RNA from 1 species
AACAAGGGAGACGGUGGAAGUAGCAAAGGAGGAUGGUAAGUUGAUCCACAAAUUUGUCAUCUGAUUUGUGUUACUUGGAAGGACUGAAAGUUCAGGGAUCUGUAUAUAUUGGUUUCUUUGCCCUUUUUUUGUUCUUUUUUAAAUGCACUAUUAAGGUGUGAAAACAGUAGUUUCUUGUGGAACCAUGCACAAGUCCUUAAUUUUCCUUCACUUUUUGGACACUGGUACUAAUGAGCAGAGCUCGACUGAGCAUGGAUAAGGGAACACCUGUUUUAUA